UGGGGAAUAUUGGACAAUGGGCGCAAGCCUGAUCCAGCCAUGCCGCGUGUGUGAAGAAGGCCUUUUGGUUGUAAAGCACUUUAAGCGAGGAGGAGGCUACUUGGAUUAAUACUCUAGGAUAGUGGACGUUACUCGCAGAAUAAGCACCGGCUAACUCUGUGCCAGCAGCCGUGGUAAUACAGAGGGUGCGAGCGUUAAUCGGAUUUACUGGGCGUAAAGCGUGCGUAGGCGGCUUCUUAAGUCGGAUGUGAAAUCCCUGAGCUUAACUUAGGAAUUGCAUUCGAUACUGGGAAGCUAGAGUAUGGGAGAGGAUGGUAGAAUUCCAGGUGUAGCGGUGAAAUGCGCAGAGAUCUGGAGGAAUACCGAUGGCGAAGGCAGCCAUCUGGCCUAAUACUGACGCUGAGGUACGAAAGCAUGGGGAGCAAACAGG
rnacentral:rRNA from 1 species